rnacentral:rRNA from 3 species
UUAAAUUGAAGAGUUUGAUCAUGGCUCAGAUUGAACGCUGGCGGCAGGCCUAACACAUGCAAGUCGAACGGUAACAGGAAGCAGCUUGCUGCUUUGCUGACGAGUGGCGGACGGGUGAGUAAUGUCUGGGAAACUGCCUGAUGGAGGGGGAUAACUACUGGAAACGGUAGCUAAUACCGCAUAAUGUCGCAAGACCAAAGAGGGGGACCUUCGGGCCUCUUGCCAUCGGAUGUGCCCAGAUGGGAUUAGCUAGUAGGUGGGGUAACGGCUCACCUAGGCGACGAUCCCUAGCUGGUCUGAGAGGAUGACCAGCCACACUGGAACUGAGACACGGUCCAGACUCCUACGGGAGGCAGCAGUGGGGAAUAUUGCACAAUGGGCGCAAGCCUGAUGCAGCCAUGCCGCGUGUAUGAAGAAGGCCUUCGGGUUGUAAAGUACUUUCAGCGGGGAGGAAGGCGAUAAGGUUAAUAACCUUGUCGAUUGACGUUACCCGCAGAAGAAGCACCGGCUAACUCCGUGCCAGCAGCCGCGGUAAUACGGAGGGUGCAAGCGUUAAUCGGAAUUACUGGGCGUAAAGCGCACGCAGGCGGUCUGUCAAGUCGGAUGUGAAAUCCCCGGGCUCAACCUGGGAACUGCAUUCGAAACUGGCAGGCUAGAGUCUUGUAGAGGGGGGUAGAAUUCCAGGUGUAGCGGUGAAAUGCGUAGAGAUCUGGAGGAAUACCGGUGGCGAAGGCGGCCCCCUGGACAAAGACUGACGCUCAGGUGCGAAAGCGUGGGGAGCAAACAGGAUUAGAUACCCUGGUAGUCCACGCCGUAAACGAUGUCGACUUGGAGGUUGUGCCCUUGAGGCGUGGCUUCCGGAGCUAACGCGUUAAGUCGACCGCCUGGGGAGUACGGCCGCAAGGUUAAAACUCAAAUGAAUUGACGGGGGCCCGCACAAGCGGUGGAGCAUGUGGUUUAAUUCGAUGCAACGCGAAGAACCUUACCUACUCUUGACAUCCAGAGAACUUAGCAGAGAUGCUUUGGUGCCUUCGGGAACUCUGAGACAGGUGCUGCAUGGCUGUCGUCAGCUCGUGUUGUGAAAUGUUGGGUUAAGUCCCGCAACGAGCGCAACCCUUAUCCUUUGUUGCCAGCGGUCCGGCCGGGAACUCAAAGGAGACUGCCAGUGAUAAACUGGAGGAAGGUGGGGAUGACGUCAAGUCAUCAUGGCCCUUACGAGUAGGGCUACACACGUGCUACAAUGGCGCAUACAAAGAGAAGCGACCUCGCGAGAGCAAGCGGACCUCAUAAAGUGCGUCGUAGUCCGGAUUGGAGUCUGCAACUCGACUCCAUGAAGUCGGAAUCGCUAGUAAUCGUGGAUCAGAAUGCCACGGUGAAUACGUUCCCGGGCCUUGUACACACCGCCCGUCACACCAUGGGAGUGGGUUGCAAAAGAAGUAGGUAGCUUAACCUUCGGGAGGGCGCUUACCACUUUGUGAUUCAUGACUGGGGUGAAGUCGUAACAAGGUAACCGUAGGGGAACCUGCGGUUGGAUCACCUCCUUACCUUAAAGAA